UGUUUAAUCAAGGAUCAUUGAACAGGCACUGUUGAUCAGGGUGUCCAGAAAUUGUUAGCAUGGCUAAAUUGAGACACAGGUCAUACUUCUAUCACAGUAUAUGUUUUACACUGGUGACAACGAGACCUGGAACAAUU
rnacentral:snoRNA from 1 species